rnacentral:misc_RNA from 1 species
GAUGAAGAACGCAGCGAAAUGCGAUAAGUAGUGUGAAUUGCAGAAUUCAGUGAAUCAUCGAAUCUUUGAACGCACAUUGCGCCCCUUGGUAUCCCGAGGGGCAUGCCUGUUCGAGCGUCAUUUCACCACUCAAGCCUGGCUUGGUGUUGGGCGACGUCCUCUUUGGGGACGCGCCUCGAAACGCUCGGCGGCGUGGCACCGGCUUUAAGCGUAGCAGAAUCUUUCGCUUUGGAAGUCGGGGCCCCGUCUUCCGGAAGACCUGCUCGCAAGGUUGACCUCGGAUCAGGCAGGGAUACCCGCUGAACUUAAGCAUAUCAAUAAGCGGAGGA